UACAGAGGGUGCAAGCGUUAAUCGGAAUUACUGGGCGUAAAGCGUGCGUAGACGGUUAUGUAAGUCAGAUGUGAAAGCCCCGGGCUCAACCUGGGAAUUGCAUUUGAGACUGCAUAGCUAGGGUGCGGAAGAGGGAAGCGGAAUUUCCGGUGUAGCGGUGAAAUGCGUAGAUAUCGGAAGGAACACCAGUGGCGAAAGCGGCUUCCUGGUCCAGCACCGACGUCAGGCACGAAAGCGUGGGGGAGCAAACAGGG
rnacentral:rRNA from 1 species